rnacentral:sRNA from 1 species
AAUUAUCCAUGUACCUUCCCAGAUCUGUGUUUAUGUUGGUAAUUGUUAUCUGUCUAGAAAAUACCAAUAUCAAAUAGAUUUUCAGUUUUCUUGAGUAAAGGCCUCUGAGAUAAGACCUAAUGAUUGUGAAUUUGUUCAUUGUCUAUUGUUAGAUCCCUCUUUCCAUUUCUAAUUGAGUCAACUUAAGUAUUGUCUAUGGUAUGCAGUUUGUUUGUGGAGGAGUUGCCUAUGUGGUGGAUCUUCUCAACAAAAAUACAAAAAAAGAAACAAACAACAAACAAACAAACAAAAAAAACCAAAAAGACUCAAACCACAGACCUUGCUUCCCUUCACUCUUUGUAUUUUUCACUUUGUUUGUAACUGACUAAUUUGAUUUGAGCCCUGAAUUAAUUUCCUGCCAUCAAAUCCUACCUGACAUUCUAUGGGAUCAGGUUUGGCCUCAUCUUGGUAAGAGCAACAUAUAACUACUGUAGCUUUUUCUGCUCUCUAUAGUUGUGAUGACGUCAAAACCUUACUGAAAACAAUGCACAGCACGUUUUAGGCUGUAUUAAAGCAGCCCACCAUUUCAGUGUUCCCUGCAAGGUGCCAUGGGACAGUAUUAGCAUAUGUCUGCAUGUAACUUGACAGUUUUCAUUAGGGACUACAAACACACACACACACACACACACACACACACACACACACACUUUUCUGACAUGGUGCACAUUCUUUGCACACAAAGAAGAAAGUGAGCAGUAAUGAAAACACACCAAUCAUGGAAUUGAUGGAGGGAGCUGUGGGGAAGCUGGGGCUUAGAUUUACUUAAAGGCCCUAUGCAGGCUCUCCUUUUGCUGGAGGAGAAACUUCAAGUGCAAUGUGGUUCUUUAUUUUCUUUCUCUAAAGCACAGAGGUCUAGGGUGGAACACAGGGCUUUGAGCAUGUUCGGCAAGUACAGUCCCAAUGAAUUAAAUCCUAGGGCUGGAACCUAUUAAUCUUCUACAGAAUUACAGAGCAGCCUGGAUGAAGACUCUCAGCUGAAAAGGUGGACAUCUCAAGACAGGCACUGGACAAUGGCUGACAGACUUGACUGAAGACUGGAAAUGUUUUGCUAUCUCAUAGGAAAAGAAGGCCCCUCCUACCACACUGUACUCUAAGGACAGUUUAUUCAGGUGCUUCCUACACAAGAAGUCACAUGACCAGAGAGUGUCACUUGUCAAAGAACCAAGAACUUGUUCAAAACUCUGCAUAGGAUCCAAUCUAUCACAUGGAUAUGCAAUAAUGAGAGCCUUCUGAAGAUGCCUAGACAAUCCUGGGAUGAGGAACAGUCUUUUAUGGAAUUGAAAACUGAGUCCUAAUGACCCUGGCACACUGAUGUGUGAACAGCACAAGAGAUAGAACCAGAGCUGAAGACCAUCCAAUCCAGAACAAUGAAAGUCAGAAAUGGCCAUUCCACAGGUGAUAGCUUUUCUGACCAG